rnacentral:lncRNA from 1 species
GUAGAACUACCUUUGGGAAUGACACAACCUUUGAUCAGUUUAAAAAAAAUACCAUAUACUCUUCUCCAUGUGCGUAGCAACGCUUGUAACAUGAUUCUUAUAGUGUUUGGUAAGAAUCUUCUUGACUUCCAUAUUUUUCUCAUAAUUCUUGUUUAGAUCAUGAUACCUUCAUGUUCAUCCAAGCUGUAAAAUCAACUUGCGUUUAUCCAAAAAUAGCCAUCUUAGCAAUUGUUUGUGAAACGUAGGAAAUAUUGUAUUUGACUCAUUCUUGUGUCCUAGGAAUUUAAUCCAUGCACAUCUACAAUUGUCGUUAACAUGGCAAGUUCAUGUUUUUUUACUAUUGACAGAUGCAGUAUUUGCAAGACCAAUUAAGUCAAUGUUGGUAUCAUUAUUGAUAGUCCUUAUAUGUGAGCAAAAAACCUGCGGAUUAGUGAUUAGAAAAUUGCUUUUUUGACAAUGAAUACUUCCUAUUGACACAAGUAAAUGACACUU